GGCUUCAGAGCUCAGUUGGUCGAGCAUCACACUGGUAUCGUGGAGGUCACGGGUUCAAAUCCCGUUGAAGCCC
rnacentral:tRNA from 1 species